GCAAGGAAAAAGAGUCAGGAAUUUUGGAUAUGUGCCUUGCCAUGGAGGAUGAAGGUCGACAUAUAUAGGGAUUUCCCAAUAACAUGUAGCGGUGCGGAUGUGGCCUUGUUACCCACACUUGUCGGUAAAAGUGUGGUAGUUGGAAUAGUGCAAUUCACGCGUUUUAAACUCUAUCAAAGAUCUUUGACAGAGUUGCACGUGCUAUUCGAAAAGUCGAGAUUGCGACUGAAAAAUGUUGACGGACUUUAUGUAGGAAAAUCCAGCUUAACAAAUAAUGAGUGUUCAGUUUAACAAAUAGUGAUAAUACUCGUGUUUAGUUUUCAAAAGUAGUCAAUUUAAGAAAUAGUUAGUGUUCAGUUUAACAAAUAGUAAUAGUACCCGUGUUUAGUUUUCAAAAAUAGUCAGUAUUCAAUUUAAGAAAUAGUUUAGUAUAUGCGUUCAAUUUUAGAAAUAGUCUGUUUAAGAAAUAGUGUAGUAUCCAUGUUUAGUUUCAGAAAUAGUACCUGUGUCAAGUUUCAGACAUAACCAUUUAAAAAAAAAAAUAGUAAGUGAAGAAAUAACAUUUUGUUGUGGUCUAUUUUUAUCUAACAAAAUAGAGAGGGUCGACGAUAGUGGGAGAGAGAAGAGAGAUGUGUGUUUGUAGAAUUAUAGGGGAAUGUGUGUGUUGUUAUCCCUCAUACAUUGUGCCUUUAUUUAUAGUAGUAAAGGGAGAGAAGAUAUUCCUUCUCCUCCAAGUAAUACAAGUUGUAAU
rnacentral:lncRNA from 1 species